GUUGAUAACGUCGAAAUUCUUCGAGACCAAAUAACAUCGACAGUUCCACGAACAAAAAUAAGGAAAGCAACUGUUUUGGAUAGUUUUUGUUGACCAUGUGUGAUCAUCUAUGAAAUAAACGUGCUGCAUCUGCUAUCAGGAGUCUGUAAGACCUGGGGACUGCCUGGUCAUUCCGCCAUUCAGGAUUUGGCUAAAUGACUUGUUGGCCAUGUGUCAAGCAAUGGCUCUCUUACAACAAACCAAUUUCAAGAUCAAUUGAAAUCUAAAUAUCAGGCUAGAGUCGCUUUAAUUGAGCAGGCGUUAUAGUAUGUACAACCAAAAGAAGGGGACAAACCACAGUCUGCACAUCAAGCGCUAAAGAUGAAAUGCACAAUUGACCCAGGUGUUCAAUGAACAGAGUGCAGUUGAACUGUUCACGUGCUCCUGAUUCAGUCCCAGCUGCAAAAUGGGACCCCAAUCGUUAUGUUGAGGAAGUGGAACAGCAACUUUUUCCAUGUACAUGUAUCCAGACAACAGGGUUGUUGACACGCAGACUGUUAAUUGGAUGUCCCUCAUAAACGAAUAUAUAACUAAAUCCAUGGCACAAUUCACAGCAAUGCCAGGGUGCUAAGAGAGACAAAAUAUCCAGCUGCUCUUCUCAACCAGCAUAACGUACAAGCCUGCAUAAUGAUGUCACAUGAAAAGGGAAAUACGAAUAUGCUUGCUCAAGGGUUGGAAGAGGGCAUGCCACUGCUUUCCCCUGUCAAACUAUUGUCUACUCUUCAAGUGGUUGUUAUCAACCGGCCCCUACUAUAUUCCAAACCUACCAACAACUUCUGAUAGUGUUCAGCCUAGGGAAAGGGGGUUAAAACUGGUAAAUCAGUGCCAGCACCAAUUUUGCCAGCUCUGAUCAACCUAGCUCCCUUUUUCACCCCAUUGGCUUGAACAUAAUUUCUUUGUCGGUACAGCCUGCUAUUCACUACCAAAUAAUGACAAAUUAAAACUAAGGAAGAGGCUGAGGGAAAAGUGUGAAGUUCUUGCAACAAAUAUUAAGUGGUCGGGAACUGAAAAAUUGUGGGAGAUCAUCUCCAUUCACUCAUAUUUGAAUCUUUGAGGCUCACUUUAUUGUCCCAGAGCUGCACGGGAAACCUUGAAAAAUUAUAAGGGAGACACUAUGCAGAAUGGUUUCCUGAUAGGCAAAAGUGAUGUAAAAACAGUAAAAAAUAUUUUGUUGGUGUUUUUUUGUUGAACAUGCAACAUUUGAUCUUCUGAUAAUGACAGUAAUUUUUUGUUCACAUUUUCUUCACUGAUAGUGGCACUCAUUUUUGUAUGUCUUCAACACUGAAAGUGACAGUGACUGGUGUAGCUUUGACACUGAAAGUGACAGUGACUGGUGUAGCUUUGACACUGAAAGUGACAGUGACUGGUGUAGCUUUGACACUGAAAGUGACAGUGACUGGUGUAGCUUUGACACUGAUAUAGUGACAGUGACUGGUGUAGCUUUGACACUGAAAGUGACAGUGACUGGUGUAGCUUUGACACUGAAAGUGACAGUGACUGGUGUAGCUUUGACACUGAUAUAGUGACAGUAAAUUGUUAAUGUUGUUAUACCCCCAUUACUGGUAAUGGGGGCUAUAUAAGAGUCACUUUGUUGGUCUGUCGGUCUGUCUGUCCCGAAAAUUUAAUUCGAUCUUCACCAAACUUGGUCAGAAGUUGUAUCUAGUUUAAAGUUACAGUCACUUUUAUGUGUUUACAAUUUACCAUUUUUUGAAGUAAAUAUUAUUUUGUGUCAACUUAAAAAAUGAUACAUGCGAUGGCUAAGAAUAACACAUGAAUUCAACUAAGGGGAAUAAUUAAUAAGAUUAAACUGACUUUUUGUUUUCCCAAUUAGUAUUUGAUUGUUCAUCUGAACUGACCUUUAAAAAAGUAGACUUUAACUGAACCGUCCAUUUUUUAUAUGUUUAAUUCUUUUAAAAUAAUGUACUGUCAACUGUUUAAAUGUUGCAUUCUUGUACAAAAAUGUAAUGCCAAUUUUAGCUUGGCUGUUUUCAGAGAAAUCCCGAGGUAUUGUCAUAGCCAGCUCGGUGUCCGGCGUCCGCUGUCCUCAUUGUGCUAAAACCUUAACAUUGGCUCUGAAAUCAAAGUGCUUCCAUCUACAACUUUGAAACUUCAUAUGUAGCUGCACCUUGAUGAGUUCUACACGCCACACCCAUUUUUGGAUCACUAGGUCAAAGGUCAAGGUCACUGUGAUGUCUUAUAUAACACUUUAACAUAGGCUCUAAAAUCAAAGUGCUUCAACCUACAACUUUAAAACUUCAUAUGUGGCUGCACCUUGAUGAGUCUUGUGAUGUUUGUCAUCCGUCAUGUGUCGUCAACACUCUAGAUGCCAAAUGUAUUGUCUAAUUUUCAUGAAAUUUGGUCAGAAUAUUUUUUCUAAUGAUAUCUUGGCUGAUUUCAAAAAUUGUUCUGGUCUGUUAAAAAACAUAGCCGGCAGAGAGCGGGGGAGUUUCCCUUAUAUAGCCAUAGUAACUAUUUUCUCCAUUGGGUCAUUCAGCGAAUGGUCCAAAACAACAUAGAUUAGUUUGGGCAAAGUGUCAGCUGUAAUUUUGCUGCAGCUAGUCCAUGUUGAAAUUGUGAACAAGGAUUAAAUCCAAGCCAAAUCAAAUCUAUUCUACUAAAUUUAUUUAAUGAUCACUCUUAACACACUUAUUCAAAAAAUACAUUAAGAAACACACUUUUCUUAUUAGUAAUAAAAAGUAUCUUUAAAAUUUAAACAUUUUAGUGUUGAAUAUCAAGGCAUAGGUUUUCAAUAGCAUGUAUUCAAAGCAUCCAUCUGUUUUCCCUGUUCUCCCUUUUUCUUCCCAAAACCCCCUUAAUAUGCUAUUUCAAUAAGCCAAUAUGUUAAUUUCUGACAUUAUGAAUCACUGUAUGCAAAUUUAUGGAAAAUUUCAGAAGUGACCAUGAUUUAUGGCAAUUUGAAGAAAUGAAGAGGAAUAGGAAUCACCGCUCAUAAAGAGACCUUUCUUAUUCUUGGUAUUUUCAGAAGUGUGUGAGAUCAGCAAUUACACUAGCUAAAUGACUUAUUUCAACUUACAUAACUUCUAGCAAUUUAUCGAUUUCAAAAUGUUUCCGUUCCUUUAAAAGGCCUCACUGCGGGGCAGGGCAGUUUUCCUUACAUGGCUUAAGUAACACAUUUUUCACACUCUAUAUGUCACAUUAACAGUCCAAUAUUCACGCAACUUGGUCAGAUCAUUUGUUCUCAUUAUAUCUUGGCUAUGAAUUAAAAAUGGUUCCAGUGCCUUGAAAAACAUAAACACCAAGCAGUUUUCAUAAUAUGGUUAUAGUGAAACCAUGUUAACGCUCUUAUCACCACAUUUAUGGGCCAAUCUUAAUGGAACCUGGUCAGAACAUUUGUACCUAUGAAAUGUUUGCUGAGUUUAAAGCUGGGUCAUGAGAACUAAAAAAAUGGUCAUUAGGUGAAAUGUAAAAAGGUUUAAGUAUAUACUCUAGAAUACACUUUCUUUUCCCAAUCUUCAUGAACCUCAAUCAGAACAUUUGUUCUAAAGAUAUCCAGCAGAGUUAACAUGUUUACAUUUGUUCACAUGUCUAAUUAUUUUACACUAAUCUACUGCCAAGUUAUGUAAACUUUAAAAUUGAAGAAGGUCCCAAUCCAUUGAGUGGUCACAAACUUAGAUUUGUUAUAUUUUAUUUUAAAAAUUGUUUUAACACUUUGAUUGACAUUGUCGUUAUCUAUGUUAUAAAUGAUCCAGUUUUUAUUGUUUAAUGAUCAUGUUCUAAUUGAUGUCCACAUUGUGCAUUGAACAUUCAGAGGUACAAUUUAUACAAGUCAAUUAAAAAUGACAAUCCAUGUACUAAUAAUAUAUCAUAUAUGUGACCACAGAAAAGCGGAGGGGUAAAUUUUGGUUAAAUUGAAAAUGUAGGUGCAAUAUCUAUUUAAUAAAAUAUUUGAAAAUUCA